GGUAUUCUAGCAAGACUCUAUGUCAAUGUCUGCUAGAAGUUGAUCAUAAAGUCACACUGAAUGGAAUGAAAAUUGUCUCAAGGUCAGAAAGGAGGAGGAAGAACAACACUCAUUCCUUCAUAGUCUUCAGCAUGCGGGAUUGGGCAGAUCUUCCAAAUGACUUUGGUUUCAAACUGACAAAUGGCAGCACUUGAAGGAGACUCCACCCACUUUUGAUGUCAUGGGGAAUCCCCAGCCCACAGGAGCCGAAAUUGAAACUGAGCCGGUUUCUGACCAAUCAGAGGAGGGCAUGGCAACAUUGAAUGGCUGUCAAAAGGAAUAAAAUAUCUUCUACUGUAUUGAAUGC
rnacentral:lncRNA from 11 species